UUCUAUUUUUCUCAUAUUUUCUUUAUUUUUACAUAUUUAGUGGUAAUUGUCGUAGUUAGUAUCACGAGCAUUUGCAUGAAUUAUGAAGUUAAGCCAAGUUAAUUGCCUAUGAUGAGUUAUGUGCGUAGUUCUUGAUUAGUAGUUUCAAUUGCAAUGCUAGGUUAGUACUUGGAAAUUGCUUGUGUUGGAAAUUGUAAUUCACAUAUGUUCUUGAGAUAGGAUUUAGACGAAAUUCCAUGAACUCUAGGAUUGAAUUGAACACCCUUCAGCUUAGGUCUGUAAAUCUUAAGUUUGGGGGAACUGAGGAGUAGAUAUACCUUUCUAAAAAGAAAAA
rnacentral:lncRNA from 1 species